UACAUGCUAUGACCGUUGAUGAGUUGUCAGGCUCCUUAGAGGCUUAUGAGCAACGGCUUAAUGAGAAGUCAAAAGAAAAGUCGUUAGAUAAAGCCUUCCAAUCCCAAGUUUCCAUCAAAGAUGAACAGAAAGAAGAUGGCAAAUAACAAUCUUCUGGAAAUAGAUCUCGUGGCAGAGGAGGACGACGAGGUCAUGGUGGUGGUAGAGAAAAUUAUGGAGACAGAGGUAGAUCUAAUAAUGAAUCAGAAAAUUAUGGUGGAAGAGGUAGAGGAUCAUACAGAGGCCGUGGCCAUGCAUAUAGAAGAGGAAGGGAAUUGAGCAUGAGAUCAUCAUUCGAUAUAUGUCACAGCACAAUGGGAUUGCAGAAAGAAGGAACAAGAUCAUCAUGGACAUGGCAAGGAGUAUGCUAAAAGCUAAAGGUGCAUGGGAUUGGAAUAUGGAGAAGGAACUAGAUCCAAGAAAGACAGUGUUGGAAGAAAGUGAAGAUAUAACAGAGGCACAAACACCUCAAGGUGCAGAAAAUAAUGAGCAAAUUUCUAUUUAAAGGCCCCACAAAGCUCAGCAACCAUCUUCAAGGUUACAAGACUUUGAGGUAAUAUCUGAUAAUAAUGUUAAUGAUGAUGGAGAAUUGGUCCACUAUGCUAUGUUUGCAGAUUAUGAUCCAAUCAGGGUUGAGGAAGCAGUGCAAGAUGAUAGGUGGAUUAAUGCAAUAGAGGAAGAAAUAAGGGCUAUUGAGAAAAACAACACUUGGUGGCUGACAGAUAUUCCAAUAGAAAAGAAAGCAAUUGAAAUGAAGUGGGUUUUUAAAACCAAAACGAAGCCAAACGGUGAAGUAGAAAGAUAUAAGGCAAGAUUAGUAGCAAAAGGCUACAAGAAGCAGCUAGGAAUUGACUACUAAGAGCCCAAAGGCUUUAUCAAGCAAGGGAGUGAAGAUAAGGUGUAUCGGCUUAAGAAGGCUUUGCACGGCCUCAAGCAAGCCCCUCGUAUUUGGAACAAGAGGAUUGAUGACUUUCUACAAAAAGAUGGCUUUGAGAAGUGCC